CCAGCCAUGCCGCUGUGCUGAAGAGGCCUUCGGGUUGUAAAGGACUUUUGUCCGGGAGCAAAUCCCAGUGGUUAUCCUACUGGGGCUGAGAGUACCGGAAGAAUAAGCACCGGCUACUCGUGCCAGCAGCCGCGGUAAUACGUAGGGUGCAAGCGUUAAUCGGAAUUACUGGGCGUAAAGCGUGCGCAGGCGGUUGUGCAAGUCUGAUGUGAAAGCCCCGGGCUUAACCUGGGAACGGCAUUGGAGACUGCACGACUAGAGUGCGUCAGAGGGGGGUAGAAUUCCGCGUGUAGCAGUGAAAUGCGUAAAGAUGCGGAGGAAUACCGAUGGCGAAGGCAGCCCCCUGGGAUGACACUGACGCUCAUGCACGAAAGCGUGGGGAGCAAACAGGAUUAAAUACCCUGGUAGUCCACGCCCUAAACGAUGUCAACUAGCUGUUGGGGGUUUGAAUCCUUGGUAGCGUAGCUAACGCGAGAAGUUGACCGCCUGGGGAGUACGGCCGCAAGGUUAAAACUCAAAGGAAUUGACGGGAA
rnacentral:rRNA from 1 species